rnacentral:misc_RNA from 1 species
GAUGAAGAACGUAGCGAAAUGCGAUAAGUAAUGUGAAUUCCAGAAUUCAGUGAAUCAUCGAAUCUUUGAACGCACAUUGCGCCCGUCAGUAUUCUGGCGGGCAUGCCUGUUCGAGCGUCAUUACGCCCCUCAAGUCCCCUGUGGACUUGGUGUUGGGGAUCGGCGAGGCUGGUUUUCCAGCACAGCCGUCCCUUAAAUUAAUUGGCGGUCUCGCCGUGGCCCUCCUCUGCGCAGUAGUAAAACACUCGCAACAGGAGCCCGGCGCGGUCCACUGCCGUAAAACCCCCCAACUUUUUAUAGUUGACCUCGAAUCAGGUAGGACUACCCGCUGAACUUAAGCAUAUCAAUAAGCGGAGGA